rnacentral:rRNA from 1 species
GAUCAUGGCUCAGGAUGAACGCUAGCUACAGGCUUAACACAUGCAAGUAGAGGGGCAGCAUGGUCUUAGCUUGCUAAGGCCGAUGGCGACCGGCGCACGGGUGAGUAACACGUAUCCAACCUGCCGUCUACUCUUGGACAGCCUUCUGAAAGGAAGAUUAAUACAAGAUGGCAUCAUAAGUCCACAUGUUCACAUGAUUAAAGGUAUUCCGGUAGACGAUGGGG